rnacentral:rRNA from 1 species
UACAGAGGUCUCAAGCGUUGUUCGGAUUCAUUGGGCGUAAAGGGUGCGUAGGUGGCGAGGUUAGCCUGGUGUGAAAUCUCGGAGCUCAACUCCGAAACUGCACUGGAUACUGCCUUGCUUGAGUACUGGAGAGGAGAUUGGAAUUUACGGUGUAGCAGUGAAAUGCGUAGAUAUCGUAAGGAAGACCAGUGGCGAAGGCGAAUCUCUGGACUGUUGCUGACACUGGGGCACGAAGGCCAGGGGAGCAAACGGG